CAUCCUCCAAGGCUAAAUACUCCUGACUGACCGAUAGUGAACCAGUACCGUGAGGGAAAGGCGAAAAGAACCCCGGCGAGGGGAGUGAAAAAGAACCUGAAACCGUGUACGUACAAGCAGUGGGAGCACAGGUUUACCUGUGUGACUGCGUACCUUUUGUAUAAUGGGUCAGCGACUUAUAUUCUGUAGCAAGGUUAACCGAAUAGGGGAGCCGGAGGGAAACCGAGUCUUAAUUGGGCGUUAAGUUGCAGGGUAUAGACCCGAAACCCGGUGAUCUAGCCAUGGGCAGGUUGAAGGUUGGGUAACACUAACUGGAGGACCGAACCGACUAAUGUUGAAAAA
rnacentral:rRNA from 1 species